rnacentral:rRNA from 1 species
GACGAAGGUGGCGAGCGUUGUUCGGAAUCACUGGGCAUAAAGCGCACGUAGGCGGCGACGUAAGUUGGGUGUGAAAUCCCUCGGCCCAACCGAGGAACUGCGCCCAGUACUGCGUUGCUUGAGGAUCCAAGGGGUGCAUGGAAUUCCCGGUGGAGCGGUGAAAUGCGUUGAUAUCGGGAGGAACGCCGGCGGCGAAAGCGGUGCACUGGUGGAUUACUGACGCUGAGGUGCGAAAGCCAGGGGAGCAAACGGG